rnacentral:rRNA from 3 species
GGACUACUAGGGUAUCUAAUCCCGUUUGCUCCCCUAGCUUUCGCGCCUCAGCGUCAGAAGAGAUCCAGUGCGUCGCUUUCGCCUCCGGCGUUCCUUCCAAUAUCAACGCAUUUCACCGCUCCACUGGAAGUUCCACACACCCCUAUCUCCCUCCAGACGAUCAGUAUCAGAGGCACUUCUCCAGUUAAGCUGCAGGAUUUCACCCCUGACUUGAUCGACCGCCUACGCGCCCUUUAAGCCCAGUGAUUCCGAACAACGUUUGGACAGUUCGUCUUACCGCGGCUGCUGGCAC